UCUAGAACUCGAUAUAUGGGUUGAACACCAAAAUAAUUUUUGAACUGUAUGACAAAUUCAGACUUCUCUUUUGUUGCCAAGGUUUGAACUUCAAAAUGGUAGUAUUGAAUCUUGCACUCUUCAUGAAUGUUUUAGGUCUAUUUCUUAGCUUUUCAUC
rfam:Populus trichocarpa isolate Nisqually-1 chromosome 19, whole genome shotgun sequence.